rnacentral:tRNA from 1 species
GCCUGGCUGGCUCAGUCGGUUAAGCAUCCGACUUCGGCUCAGGUCAUGAUCUCAUGGUUAGUGAGUUCAAGCCCCACGUCGGGCU